rnacentral:tRNA from 1 species
UCCUUGGUAGCUCAGACAGUAAAGAAUCUGUCUGCAAUAUAGGAGAUCCAGGUUCAAUUCCUGGGUCAGGAA